AGAUAAAAGAAUCAGAACCAGUGAUACUCAAAAACUGAAUAAAUAUCAAGAAAAUUUUCCUAUAAUUCUCUCCAAUCAAAUUAAUCAAUCAAGCGGUCAAAAAAAUGUAUGUUGGGCACUAAUUUCUUCUUUCUACAUUACAGAGUAAAACAUCCAAUCAGAGGCAUCAAACACCUUAGCGGCCUUGACUGCACAACUGGAUAUCCGUGUAGAAUCCUGAACCGGCGCGUGACUGACACUUCCACCGUCAUGGCCGUCGUGAUGGUGGUGGUGGUGGUUGUCAUCGGAGUUAGAGGGAGGAUGGUAGUACAUGCGAGCAGUAUGUGGGCAGUGAGAAUAAAAUCUUCCAGCAAUUCUGACCCCAGCAUCCAACAAUUCCACGUACUUGCCCAUCUCUGUCUCUACAGAAACAAAAUCUUCUGUGUAAAUGCCUGAAAGCUGAAAAGCUCUCUCUUUUGUUCCUUCGCCUGAGAAUGAGAGAGAGAGAGAGAG
rnacentral:misc_RNA from 1 species